rnacentral:rRNA from 1 species
UACGUAGGGUGCGAGCGUUGUCCGGAAUUACUGGGCGUAAAGAGUUCGUAGGCGGUUUGUCGCGUCGUUUGUGAAAACCCGGGGCUCAACUUCGGGCUUGCAGGCGAUACGGGCAGACUUGAGUGUUUCAGGGGAGACUGGAAUUCCCGGUGUAGCGGUGAAAUGCGCAGAUAUCAGGAGGAACACCGGUGGCGAAGGCGGGUCUCUGGGAAACAACUGACGCUGAGGAACGAAAGCGUGGGUAGCAAACAGG